UGUGCACAUCCUCAUAAAAUUCUUCGUAACAGUGCUCAACCUCUUCAUCUGUAUACUGAAAAAGAAACAUGACAAAUCAAAAGCAAUUUUCCUGUUAUAGGUAAGCAAAUAUACUACAACAGAAACAAAUGAUGAAUCUUGCAACUACAGACUUCCAACAACGUAACAUAUAAGCAAUCCCCAACAAAAUAAUGAUAAAUACAAAAUAUACUCCAAGACCAUUCUGCAAGAAGCUAGGAUAAGCAAAUGCAAAGCACAAGAUGACUGAAGUUACCGAGAAAUCAGACUUAUGAAGCCCUAAUUAUUGUUAUAUCAUACCAGUUUUAUAGUUGAUUUAAAUAAUUUAGAAUGAUUUUACAUUUUUGCAGUCCUUAGUACAUAUCAUAAAGUAAGACUUAUCCUGCAUUCAUUAUUUAAGUGAAGAACAUAAAAUAUAAGUAAGCUCUUUCAGCUUUCCAUUUUUCUAAAACACAUUAUAAAGUAUGUGAAGCUUUCAACCAAAUACACAUACAAAUGUUUUUUGCUGCCUUCAAUU
rnacentral:misc_RNA from 1 species